ACGUAGGGUGCGAGCGUUAAUCGGAAUUACUGGGCGUAAAGCGUGCGCAGGCGGUUCGCUAAGACAGGUGUGAAAUCCCCGGGCUUAACCUGGGAAUGGCGCUUGUGACUGGCGGGCUGGAGUACGGCAGGGGGGGGUGGAAUUUCACGUGUAGCAGUGAAAUGCGUAGAGAUGUGGAGGAACACCGAUGGCGAAGGCAGCUCUCUGGGCCGUUACUGACGCUCAGGCGCGAAAGCGUGGGGAGCAGACAG
rnacentral:rRNA from 1 species